GCUGGGCACAGCGGUGUAUGUCUGUAGUCCUAGUUACUUCGGAGGCCGAGGCAGGAGGAUUGCUUGAGCCCAGCAGUUCAAGACAAGCCUGGGCAACACAGCAAGACUCUAUCUAAA
rnacentral:sRNA from 1 species